GAUGAACGCUGACAGAAUGCUUAACACAUGCAAGUCUACUUGAAUUUGGGUUUUUUAACUUAGAUUUGGGUGGCGGACGGGUGAGUAACGCGUAAAGAACUUGCCUCACAGCUAGGGACAACAUUUGGAAACGAAUGCUAAUACCUGAUAUUAUGAUUAUAAGGCAUCUUAGAAUUAUGAAAGCUAUAUGCGCUGUGAGAGAGCUUUGCGUCCCAUUAGCUAGUUGGAGAGGUAACGGCUCACCAAGGCGAUGAUGGGUAGCCGGCCUGAGAGGGUGAACGGCCACAAGGGGACUGAGACACGGCCCUUACUCCUACGGGAGGCAGCAGUGGGGAAUAUUGGACAAUGGACCAAGAGUCUGAUCCAGCAAUUCUGUGUGCACGACGACGUUUUUCGGAAUGUAAAGUGCUUUCAGUUGGGAAGAAAAAAAUGACGGUACCAACAGAAGAAGUGGCGGCUAAAUACGUG
rnacentral:rRNA from 1 species